rnacentral:rRNA from 1 species
CCUACGGGGGGCAGCAGUGGGGAAUAUUGGACAAUGGGGGGAACCCUGAUGCAGCGACGCCGCGUGAGUGAAGAAGUAUUUCGGUAUGUAAAGCUCUAUCAGCAGGGAAGAAAGACAUGACGGUACCUGACUAAGACGCGGCUGCUAACUACGUGCCAGCAGCGGCGGUAAGACGUAGGGGGCAGGCGUUCUCCGGAUUUACUGGGUGUAAAGGGAGCGUAGACGGCGAUGCAAGUCUGAAGUGAAAGGCGGGGGCCCAACCCCCGGACUGCUGUGGAAACUGUAUGGCUGGAGUGCAGGAGAGGUAAGUGGAAUUCCUAGUGUAGCGGUGAAAUGCGUAGAUAUUAGGAGGAACACCAGUGGCGAAGGCGGCUUACUGGACUGUAACUGACAUUGAUGCUCGAAAGUGUGGGUAUCAAACAGGAUUAGAUACCCUGGUAGUC